GAUCCUGGCUCAGGAUGAACGCUAGCGACAGGCUUAACACAUGCAAGUCGAAGGGCAGCAUGAGGUAGCAAUACCUUGAUGGCGACCGGCGCACGGGUGAGUAACGCGUGAGGAACCUGCCUCAAAGAGGGGGACAACAGUUGGAAACGACUGCUAAUACCGCAUAAGCCCACAGGUCGGCAUCGACCAGAGGGAAAAGGAGCAAUCCGCUUUGAGAUGGCCUCGCGUCCGAUUAG
rnacentral:rRNA from 1 species